rnacentral:lncRNA from 7 species
CUCCCCCAGGAGCACCCAUGGCACCGAUUCACCUGCUGCAGUUACGAGCAAGCCCUGCCUUAGCUGCACCUCAUCCUAACACCACUAAAACUCAUGUUGACAACUUGUACAGUGGGACGAGCCGCAGCCUUGAACAAAGCUGGGUGCCACCAGACGGCAUUGGGUAGGCUGGCAGGUGGUACCAGGCUUGGUUUCCCAAGGCAGAAGCUGUUACGCUUCCUGGACAGCAUCUGAUUUGUUUCUCCAGUUGCACGGAGGAAAAAAUAGCCGAGGUUAAUAUUUUACCAGCAGGCAAUAAAGCUGACCUGGUAUUCAGACAUCUACAUGAGCUGACAGGGCUGUCACCUGGCAGCAGGGCUAUGCUGGCUGUCCCUGUGUGCCCCCAACCCGCUGCAGGCUGCAGCCAGGGCAGUGUCCCACACACGAGCUGGUUAGAGGCAUGCACUGGAAUAAUGUCAGUGGCUCCAGUCCUGGAAUAACUUGCUGAGAGGCUGUAACGUGAUCAUGCCUGAUCUCUUCGUGGUAUGCAUGAACUGUUUUGGUGCUAGAAAGCCUCUGUCUGCUAAACAGACUCAUGGAUUUUGGGGGUUGGUAACAGAUGCCAAAGCUGGCCCUGAUAGAACAGGGCGGAGGGCCACCACUAAGUGGUGAGGCAGGGCAGGAGCUCCCAGGGCUUUAUCUGGGAAGGGCGGUGUGAAUGGGACUGCAGGCAACAUCAGCUGCGAACAGACCCUCCUUUCAUCUAUCUCAGCUUUGAAGUGCAAAAUGAUGUGCUUCUACCUGGGAGGAAGCCUUGGCAUUUUUCUAGUUGAAAGAACCUGUACAACUUUUGGUGUUUCGCAUUUGAAGAGACUAAUGGCAGGGAAGAUUUUAGAAGCAUUUCCUUUCUAAAAGUCGACCCAUACAGCGUGUAGCUAAUGUACAAUAUACCUUUCAGCACGUAGCUAACUACAUCAAGCUGUGCUGCUCUGGAACACAGGGCUGAGGUUUUGGAGCACAGGGAUUUGCGUUGCACUUACUCUUGUGCUGCUGGGAGGUUACAAAAGGGAAGGAGGAGAGGGAGGACCACUUCCCUGACUUCCCCAAAAUAUGAGUCAGAGAUCCAAAGCUUAGACUGUAAACUGUGAUUGCAUCUUCUCUGAAAGGCAGAUCUGGAAACACAGAACAGCUUGGCUGGGAAUAGAGAUGGGCAAAUCAGCAGUGCUGGCAAGGAACGUUUUUUCUUUUCCAGCUCAUGGAGGGACAGAGACUCCAGCAAAAUGGAUGAACCUCGCCAUGGAAACAUACAGGCGUUCCAAAUGCCCUUGAGGUGCCUUGCCUGGCCUUCAGCCACCUCUUCAAAAAGUGUGAGGCCUGAGCUGUUCAUUACCAUCACACCAAGCAUGACUGUAAAUGACCUUCUGUACCCUUGAUUGUAACUUCUGAGUACAGUAAACACCGCCUGGACAUCGCCUCUGCAAAAAUCUCCCCUUUCUUCCCCUGGGGCUCUUGUCAGCUCCAGGAUGACAGGAAGCAUCUGCAUCAGCUCCCAGCAACACUUCAGUGGUGCUUGCAGACAAAUUCGUAUUUCCCAAAGAUGGGAAGAAGAUUCCCAGAAGAAGGAGGUCAACUGCCUCAGACAGAAGGGCCAUGGAAGAGCCCCUUGGACACUCCCCUUGGCGGACAAUAUGCUGAUGCACGUUAGUGACUUGAUAGCGAGCUCUUGCUUUGUGGGGGCUGCUGAAGGAUGUCCUUGGUGCUUCUGUGCAGUUACGGGCUCACUGAGUCUCUUCACCAGCAUGCCACUGUGGGUUUGGCUGCAAGGCUUUCAAAGCCUGAGUGCAGCGAGCAGUGCCCGGGUGGCGUUUCUGAUGGCAUCCAUGAUGUGUCUUCUGGUAGAGGAAUGAAUAGAGCUGCUAACCACUGACCCUUGCAAACCUGCCAGAGGGAAAAAAAACAAUAAAGGAAAGUAGGCAGCAGAGCAGGGCCACACUAUUUCUAGCAACUGAGAGCUCUGAUCAGGAGAUGGACAGGUGAGGAUUUCAUUGCACUGGGGGGCAGGCUGCAGUGUCUUCCAGGCCCGAGCGGUCUGCCUGCUGUGGGGCUGCACGCCAGCAUACCCAAUAGUGUGCUAACUGUUGCUGUUUAAUCUCCAGCAUCUUGUUUGACGCCUCGGUGUAAUAAUGAUGGAAAUAAUAAAUGGCGUGC